GAGCGUUGUCCGGAAUUACUGGGCGUAAAGAGCUCGUAGGUGGUUUGUCGCGUUGUUCGUGAAAUCUCACGGCUUAACUGUGAGCGUGCGGGCGAUACGGGCAGACUGGAGUACUGCAGGGGAGACUGGAAUUCCUGGUGUAGCGGUGGAAUGCGCAGAUAUCAGGAGGAACACCGGUGGCGAAGGCGGGUCUCUGGGCAGUAACUGACGCUGAGGAGCGAAAGCGUGGGGAGCGAACAGG
rnacentral:rRNA from 1 species